rnacentral:rRNA from 1 species
UAAGGAAUAUUGGGCAAUGGAGGCAACUCUGACCCAGCCAUCCCGCGUGAAGGAUUAAGGCCCUAUGGGUUGUAAACUUCUUUUGUUUGGGAAGAAAUCAGGACAUUCAUGUGCUGUUGACGGUACCUUACGAAUAAGCACCGGCUAACUCCGUGCCAGCAGCCGCGGUAAUACGGAGGGUGCAAGCGUUAUCCGGAAUCACUGGGUUUAAAGGGUGCGUAGGCGGUUUGAUAAGUCAGAGGUGAAAGCU